rnacentral:rRNA from 1 species
CCUACGGGUGGCAGCAGUGAGGAAUAUUGGUCAAUGGACGCAAGUCUGAACCAGCCAUGCCGCGUGCAGGAAGACGGCUCUAUGGGUUGUAAACUGCUUUUGUACGAGGGUAAAGCGCGAUACGUGUAUCGGUUUGCAAGUAUCGUACGAAUAAGGACCGGCUAACUCCGUGCCAGCAGCCGCGGUAAUACGGAGGGUUCAAGCGUUAUCCGGAUUUAUUGGGUUUAAAGGGUGCGUAGGCGGGUCGCUAAGUUAGAGGUGAAAUCCCCGGGCUCAACUCCGGCACUGCCUCUGAUACUGGCGUGCUUGAGUUCAGUGGAGGCAGGCGGAAUGUAUGGUGUAGCGGUGAAAUGCAUAGAUAUCACAAAGAACACCGAUUGCGAAGGCAGCUUACCAAACUACGACUGACGCUGAUGCACGAAAGCGUGGGGAGCAAACAGGAUUAGAUACCCUAGUAGUC